CUGCUGUGAUUUUCCUCCGAUUUGAGUUGUUCCAGCCUGGAAGAAUUCCAGGAACAUCCCUUGAAUAGGGAGGACAAGGAGAUGGGGAAACAGGUCUGUCUGCACCCCAGUGGACUGAUGUGCUGCUCAAGGAGGAGAUACCAUCUCUGGAAUCAGAAGAAUAAGGAGAAAUGUCUAUUUGCUCUUCUAUAUUCCUCUUUCUUUGUGCAGUGCUUUCUCUUAAUUUCAAGCAAGAAGGCUCAGUCCCUCCAUCAUUGAAAUAUGGAAACUUCCUUUUGGGACCUCCUGGGCACAGGGACAAAGGCGAAUGACUCCAGGAGGUAGAAGAGAGUGGGUUAUAUAACCUUGUGAACUCUGCCAUGUCAGAAGGUCCAGGAGCUGGAAUCCAUGGCAGAUUCUGUCCAUAGCCAUACAAGCUGAGCCUGGUGAGGAGUCAGCCCUGAGGAGUGACCUGUCAGCAACGAUUCCACCUGGCAACCAAGACAAUAAGUUGUCAGUGGAAGAGACAUUCAUCCCUUAAUUAAUAACCUGGUAGCAAAGAAUGUUUUGUAAUGGUCAUUUUGUAGUUUUCUAACUGGCUACGCCAACUUUUAUCCCAUAGACUGAGGUGGUAGAAGUACCUGUGCUCCAACUUUGGGAGUCUGGAAACUUUGAUUCUUGUUAUAUCUCCCCAGUUAAUAUCCCUUUGCAAAAGCUAAUAACAUGUUAAUGGGUCAAUUGAUAUUGGCACAGAUGGAUAACUGGUGGUUGAUAUGAGGAAAAACUUACCAGACAAGGGUUCAUGAGAAAUUUUAGAAAUCCCCCCUAGGACUUCAGGGUUAUCUCUAGAAUCCUGAGGGAAAAUGUGGCCAGCUGACUUCUGGGGAUCUAAGUUUGUAUUGGGAGAAUAAGUCCAGAGACUCUACUUCUUUCUUCAUUAAAAUUUGAUCACAAUAUUUGCUUUCAAGCAAGAUUCUCCACUGUUUCAGUUGGUUAGUCAACACCUUAUAGCAGUGAUAGUGAACCUUUUAGAGGAGUGGGUGAUAGGAGAAAUGUCCUCAGGCGCCUGUGGAGAGGGGAAGGGGAGCAGCCCAACCCUGUGUCCUUCUGGCUUUCUAGUAAUGAACUCUGGUGAACUCUGUGCUGGGGUGAUGGUGUGUGUGCCCACAGAGAGGCCUCUGAUUGCCCCCCUCUGGCGCAUGUGCCAUAGGUUUGCCACCGUAGCCUUAGAGUAAUCCUCUUAUAGUGUGCAUUGAGUUCUAUACUAAAUACAAUGGGGACCUGAAUUAAGAGAUUGUGAUAUAAGAUGGUCAGAAGGCUAAAAAAAAAAAAGAAAUAAGCACAGAGGGGCAGCUAAGUGGUAAGUGGAUAGAGUGCCAGACCUAGAGAUAGGAGGACUGGAUUCAAAUUUGACCUCAGAUUCUUCCUAGCUGUGUGACUCUGGGCAAGCCACUUAACCUCAUUUGCCUAGUCCUUGCCUUUAUGUCUUAGUAUUGUUAUUAAGACAGAAAGUAAGGGUUUAGAAAAGAAAAAAGCAUGGAGUCUUACACAUACAUACAUACAUAUGCAUGCACACACAUGCACACAGAGAAAUAUCAUGGUACAAUGGAAAAAAUUUUAUCUAGACUAGGAGUUAGGAAGACUGGAUUCUAGGUCCAGUUCUGCCACUACAGGUGUCUUUCACAUAGUAGGUACUUUUCAUUUGUUUGUUUUUGUCUUCAUCUGAACCAUGCAAACAAAUUAAUUCUCCUUUCUGGGCUUCAUUUUCUCUUCUUGUAAAAUGGGUGAGUUAUAAAGAAAUGAUCUCUAAGGUUCCUUCCAGCUCUAAAUUUCCAAGACUUUGGCAAGGUAUUUCAAAUUUCUUUACUUUUUAACUGUCUAGUCAACUGGCCAUGGGCAAGUCACUUAAUCUUUCACUGAUCCAGGCCUAAGAUUAACAGUUGCCAAGCAAGUACCUAUUUCCAUUACUAAAAGAGAUUUUCCCCAGUAUAAGUUAUAUCCACCAAACAAUUCACAGGUCUGGUCCAAGAAAAGGAGGAAAAAAAUACAUCAAGUAACUUGUUCAAAGGUUUAAGGGACCAUUUUGCUUUUUAACUAGUUAUUUAUUUCAUGCCCAUGGGCUAGCCCAGAUUCUGCCUCUCUGGGCUAUAAUUUUAGUCCCUUCCCUUCACUGACGGCACUCUAACUCAGGAGUUCUUAACAUUUUUUGAAUUAAGGGCUCAUUUGGAC